rnacentral:rRNA from 1 species
UACAGAGGGUGCGAGCGUUGUCCGGAAUCACUGGGCGUAAAGGGCGCGUAGGCGGUCUGGUAAGCGUGUGGUGAAAGCCCGGGGCUCAACCCCGGGUCGGCCGUGGCAACUGCUGGGCUGGAGCACAGUAGAGGCGGGUGGAAUUCCGGGUGUAGCGGUGGAAUGCGUAGAGAUCCGGAAGAACACCGGUGGCGAAGGCGGCGACCUGGACAGGUACUGACACUCAACUACGAAAGCGUGGGGAGCAAACAGG